CAUAGUGAUGAAUUAUAUCACAAUUGUCACUACCUCUGAGGCAUAUUCUUGGUUUAUUGUUUUUUUUUUGUUACCUAUGUUUGAACUUAACUAGUUCUUAGAAGCCUGGUG
rnacentral:snoRNA from 1 species